GCCUGGCUGGCACAGUUGGUAGAGCAUAAGAUUCUUGAUCAUAGGGUUGUGAGUUCAAGCCCCACAUUGGGCA
rnacentral:tRNA from 1 species